CGGCAGACCACAAUCCCCUUCUCUCAUCUCGCUCUAAACCAUCUCAAAUAUCCUCAAAUCCCUUCCCUUCUCCGGCUUUAAAUUUCAAAAUCUCCAACGGAUUAAAAUUAUAAGUCGGCGCCGAGGCUCGGCUACUCGGCUAUUUAUUUAGGGUUUCCUAUUUCCGAUUGCUCUGUCUCAGCUAUAGAGGAGGGCAGAGGAGGGGGCAUUCAUUCAUGGAUUCGGAAGAAUUGGAAGGAACUUCUUGAGGUGCUGGCAUGGAAGGAAGGAUUCUCCCCUUGAUGUCAUUGCCAUCAAUGACACCGGAGUUGUCAAGCAGGCCUCUCACCUUCUCAAAUACGACGGCAAGGUCAUCAAAAUCGUAUCCAGCCGCAAUCCCAUCAAUAUCCCGGCAAGGUUGAACUGAAAGCUAUGUGGGAGGUGGAAAAGAAAGAGCAGCGGAUAAGAAAUUGACAGUAUACUAUUGAGGAAAAGGUGAUUUAAAG